CAGAGACACUGAGACGCCGGCAGCACAAUGAUGAUGUCACUGAGUCUACUGCUGGUCACCCUGGGGCUCCUUGUUCAGGGUUCAUCAGGAGAAAUCAUCCUGACUCAGUCUCCUGGAUCUCAGUCUGCUGUAGCAGGACAGACUGUCUCUAUCACAUGUAAAGCCAGUACACUUAUAGGUGAUGACAUUAACUGGUACCAACAGAAAGAUGGAGAACCUCCUAAACUCCUGAUUUAUGAUACUACAGAGCGGCAGUCUGGAGUUCCAGAUCGUUUUAGUGCAACGGCACAUCAGACUGACUUCACUUUGGUCAUCAGAGGAGUUCAGACUGAAGAUGCUGGAGUUUAUUACUGUCAGCAGCAUAACAGUUUCCCGUUCACACAGUGAAACAACGCAGUACAAAAACCUCCCUCAGCUAAAGAGGAACUGAUCUGCUUCAACAGCUGCACACAAUCUAAAAAAAAACUACAUCUUAUGACCAAAGAAUAUUUCAUAAUUACACCUAAUUGUAAUAUUUUGCAGUGAAAAAACGAAAACAUGACGGAAACGAUUAAAAUCUUAUUAACAAUCUUCUCAAUCAAAAU